rnacentral:rRNA from 1 species
GAUGAACGCUGGCGGCGUGCUUAACACAUGCAAGUCGAACGGAAAGCCCCUUCGGGGGAAUUCGAGUGGCGAACGGGUGAGUAACACGUGGGCAAUCUGCCCCUCACUCUGGGAUAACUCGGGGAAACUCGAGCUAAUACCGGAUACUUCGUCGAGGUCGCAUGGCCAUGACGAGAAAGCUCCGACGGUGAGGGAUGAGCCCGCGGCCCAUUAGCUUGUUGGUGAGGUAACGGCUCACCAAGGCGACGAUGGGUAGCCGAGCUGAGAGGCUGAUCGGCCACACUGGGACUGAGACACGGCCCAGACUCCUGCGGGAGGCAGCAGUGGGGAAUUUUGCGCAAUGGGCGAAAGCCUGACGCAGCAACGCCGCGUGUGGGAUGAAGGCUUUCGGGUCGUAAACCACUUUCAGCAGGGAUGAAACUGACAGUACCUGCAGAAGAAGCCCCGGCUAAAUACGUGCCAGCAGCCGCAGUAAAAC